CUACGUUGAUGAUUUUUUUUAGUUGAACUCUCUCUUUCUGAUGGCUCGGUGGAGAAAGGACGAAGAUAUCCUGAGUAGC
ensembl:snoRNA SNORD26 Small nucleolar RNA SNORD26